rnacentral:rRNA from 1 species
UACGUAGGGGGCAAGCGUUGUCCGGAUUCAUUGGGCGUAAAGAGCGUGUAGGCGGCCAGGUAGGUCGGUUGUGAAAACUGGAGGCUCAACCUUCAGAGGUCGACCGAAACCAUCUGGCUAGAGUCCGGGAGAGGAGAGUGGAAUUCCUGGUGUAGCGGUGAAAUGCGUAGAUAUUGGGAAGAACACCUGAGGCGAAGGCGGGUUGCUGGGCCGACACUGACGCUGAGGCGCGAAAGCCAGGGGAGCAAACGGG